UUUUUUUCAAAGCUUGGGGUUCAAUGGCUUUGGAGAAACGACACCGGCCUUUUUCCUCUCGAGGCCAUGUGAUCGGCUCUCGAUCGACGCGACGCUUAUCGGCCGUCCGUGCUCGCAAGCUAGUGGAGGUUUUGUUGCACUACAUGAACGAUUCCUGGGUCCAAGCUGGUCUUUUUGGGAGCAAAAGCUGAGAAAUUUGUACCGGAAUGGCUGGUUCCAGCAAAAGCCGGGUGUUUUGGAGCUUUGGAGCUGCCACUAAUGGCUGGUGGGUCUCAGAAUGUGGUCUCGAUGCUAUAGGGAUGAGCCAAAGAUGGGAUUUUUAUUAGGAACAGCAUAGUGAUUCUUGGGCUGUUGUUGAACAUAACAUCAGUGGUUUGGUCGUUUGGGGGAUGCGGUUGGUGGCAAAAAAUGGGACAUUUGAGCAGUUUGGGCAUCAGGCUGAGCCUUGUCUCAGGGUUCCUGUUCCUGGCGCUGGCAGCAGAGCUUUACUACUUGUUUUGGUGGAAGAAGAGAGAA